rnacentral:rRNA from 1 species
UACGUAGGUGGCAAGCGUUGUCCGGAUUUACUGGGCGUAAAGAGCGCGCAGGCGGUCGUACAAGUCGCGUGUGAAAGCCCCCGGCUCAACUGGGGAGGGUCACGCGAUACUGUUCGACUCGAAGGCAGGAGAGGGAAGCAGAAUUCCCGGUGUAGUGGUGAAAUGCGUAGAUAUCGGAAGGAACAUCAGUGGCGAAAGCGGCUUCCUGGACCAGUACCGACGUUCAGGCACGAAAGCGUGGGGAGCAAACAGG